rnacentral:rRNA from 1 species
AUUGAACGCUGGCGGCAUGCCUUACACAUGCAAGUCGAACGGUAACGGGCCUUCGGGUGCCGACGAGUGGCGAACGGGUGCGUAAUACAUCGGAACGUGCCCGAUCGUGGGGGAUAACGAGGCUAAAGCUUUGCUAAUACCGCAUACGAUCUACGGAUGAAAGCAGGGGACCGCAAGGCCUUGCGCGGACGGAGCGGCCGCUGGCAGAUUAGGUAGUUGGUGGGAUAAAAGCUUACCAAGCCGACGAUCUGUAGCUGGUCUGAGAGGAUGAUCAGCCACACUGGGACUGAGACACGGCCCAGACUCCUACGGGAGGCAGCAGUGGGGAAUUUUGGACAAUGGGCGCAAGCCUGAUCCAGCCAUGCCGCGUGCAGGAUGAAGGCCUUCGGGUUGUAAAAUGCUUUUGUACGGAACGAAAAGCCUUCUUUUAAUACAGGAGGGUCAUGACGGUACCGUAAGAAUAAGCACCGGCUAACUACGUG